rnacentral:rRNA from 1 species
CCAAUAGCGUAUAUUAAAGUUGUUGCAGUUAAAAAGCUCGUAGUUGAAUUUCGGGGUCAGUAGAUUGGUCAUGCCACUGGUAUGUACUGGUCUCACUGAUUCCUCCUUCCUGAUGAGCCGUAAUGCCAUUAAUUUGGUGUUGCGAGGAAUCUGGACUGUUACUUUGAAAAAAUUAGAGUGUUUAAAGCAGGCUAACGCUUGAAUACAUUAGCAUGGAAUAAUGAAAUAGGACGUUCGAUCUUAUUUUGUUGGUUUCUAAGAUUGACGUAAUGAUUAAUAGGGAUAGUUGGGGGCAUUAGUAUUCAAUUGUCAGAGGUGAAAUUCUUGGAUUUAUUGAAGACUAACUACUGCGAAAGCAUUUGCCAAGGAUGUUUUCAUUAAUCAAGAACGAAAGUUAGGGGAUCGAAGACGAUCAGAUACCGUCGUAGUCUUAACCAUAAACUAUGCCGACUAGGGAUCGGAUGAUGUUAAUUUUUUAAUGACUCAUUCGGCACCUUACG